UUAUCAUUGCAGGUACUGACAUUGUGCAGUGGCUGAUGAAGAACCUGUCCAUCGAAGACCCAGUUGAAGCAAUACACUUGGGAAGCCUUAUAGCUGCCCAGGGCUAUGUCUUUCCCAUCUCGGACCAUGUUCUCACCAUGAAGGAUGAUGGCACCUUUUACCGGUUCCAGGCUCCGUACUUCUGGCCGUCGAACUGCUGG